rnacentral:rRNA from 1 species
AGUGAACGCUGGCGGUAGGCCUAACACAUGCAAGUCGAACGGCAGCACAGGAGAGCUUGCUCUCUGGGUGGCGAGUGGCGGACGGGUGAGGAAUACAUCGGAAUCUACUCUGUCGUGGGGGAUAACGUAGGGAAACUUACGCUAAUACCGCAUACGACCUACGGGUGAAAGCAGGGGAUCUUCGGACCUUGCGCGAUUGAAUGAGCCGAUGUUGGAUUAGCUAGUUGGGGGGGUAAAGGCCCACCAAGGCGACGAUCCGUAGCUGGGCUGAGAGGAGGAUCAGCCACACUGGAACUAGGACACGGUCCAGACUCCUACGGGAGGCAGCAGUGGGGAAUAUUGGACAAUGGGCGCAAGCCUGAUCCAGCCAUACCGCGUGGGUGAAGAAGGCCUUCGGGUUGUAAAGCCCUUUUGUUGGGAAAGAAAUCCAGCUGGCUAAUACCCGGUUGGGAUGACGGUACCCAAAGAAUAAGCACCGGCUAACUUCGUGCCAGCAGCCGCCGUAA